GAUGAAGAACGCAGCGAAAUGCGAUAAGUAAUGUGAAUUGCAGGAUUCAGUGAAUCAUCGAAUCUUUGAACGCACAUUGCGCCCCUUGGUAUUCCGGGGGGCAUGCCUGUUCGAGCGUCAUUUCAACCCUCAAGCUCUGCUUGGUAUUGGGCUCCGUCCUCCUCGGACGCGCCUCAAAGACCUCGGCGGUGGCGUCUUGCCUCAAGCGUAGUAGAAACACCUCGCUUUGGAGUGCAUGGCGUCGCCCGCCGGACGAAACCUUUUGUAUUUUCUCAAGGUUGACCUCGGAUCAGGUAGGGAUACCCGCUGAACUUAAGCAUAUCAAUAAGCGGAGGA
rnacentral:misc_RNA from 1 species